rnacentral:rRNA from 1 species
AUACGUAGGGUGCAAGCGUUAAUCGGAAUUACUGGGCGUAAAGCGUGCGCAGGCGGUUUUGUAAGACAGAGGUGAAAUCCCCGGGCUCAACCUGGGAACUGCCUUUUUGAAUGCAAGGCUAAAGUCCGGCAGAGGGGGAUGGGAUUCCGCGUGUAGCAGUGAAAUGCGUAGAUAUGCGGAGGAACACCGAUGGCGAAGGCAAUCCCCUGGGCCUGUACUGACGCUCAUGCACGAAAGCGUGGGGAGCAAACAGGAUUAGAUACCCUGGUAGUCCACGCCCUAAACGAUGUCAACUGGUUGUUGGGUCUUCAUUGACUCAGUAACGAAGCUAACGCGUGAAGUUGACCGCCUGGGGAGUACGGCCGCAAGGUUGAAACUCAAAUGAAUUGACGGGG